rnacentral:lncRNA from 1 species
CAAGACCCGCCUCAAGGACGCGCACCAGCGGGUCAUCAGUAUCCCCAUUGCCACCCUCCCUACCACGAAUUCGCCUGAGAGAUCGACACAGAUAUAGAAAGAGAGAGAGACGCGAGAGCGAGGGGAGAAUAAUGUGAGAAGACAAGAUGGAAGGUCUGCUAAUUAGUACUGUAUCUAUCAGAGGAUUAACAAACUUUGGGGGACACGUGUGUGGCCACAACGGUGGGGCUAGAUGGCGGGGAGUCACCAAGGACUUUGGCUUAGAAAAGUUGCUUUGCUUAUUUCGCCGCAGGGAAAUCACGAAGCUCGUUAGGUACCUGUUGCUUUGCUUUUACUUGCCUCAUCUUCCCCCCAUCGUCUUCCCCCAUCAUGCCUCGGCUUCCUCCACCAAGUCUGCCGGGGAACCAGGGUCUCCCCCUUUGUCGCCUACAAAUCCGGCUACCGCGACUCCUCGUCAGCCUCUGCCUGCUGUGUCGGCGGCGCUGCCCUCUCUCCUGCUAGUGACGCGGCCUCUGGAGGCGCCUCCCUCGCGAGCUCGCUCGGACUUGGGCUGCAAGGGAGCACGGGGCACAAGGGCGGGCCCGACAACGAAGAGCACGGAGAUGCCGAUGGCGGGGGGCUGGCGGCAGGGAGCAGAGGUCGAGAUGAAGCUCACACCGAAACGGGCGGGGUCCGGUGGCGGGCGCGGGAAGAAAAUUGGCCCCGGCGGCGGCGGGAAAUCGCGGAGCGAAGCGCCAUCGUUCGCGUCAUCUUCGUAGGAGGAGGCGAGGUCGGCGGCGACCGAGCCCGAGGUCGAUACUGCUCCUGCCGGUGGCAGAGAUCUCGCGGCGGGAGCUAGAGGCCGGGCUGCGGCGGCUCGGGCACGGCGGCCGGAGUCCAAGGAGGAGAGGGGCGGUGCCGAAUUCUAGAAUGGGGUAAGCAGAGCUUGUUUCUCGCCCUUCUGCUCUCUUCCUCGCGAAGAAUGCCUCGUCAGAACACUGCGCCAAGGACAAUGUUGAUAAAUUAGAUAAUUUCGAUCAAUAUUUAAUUCAGAAAGACAGUGUAAAACAUGUAGCACAUUAUAUCAUGCAAACUAGACAAAUUAAAUAGCAACGCACAGCAAUAAAACUCAUCUAAUUUCACGGCAUGAAUAAUAGAACUACUAAUCAAAAUCAGCAAGAAAUAGCAGAUUACGUACGGUGCUGUGCUCUUUUCUUGUGUUUGUUUGUUGAGGUCGGUGACGAGUCCGGUGGCGUCGAUGUUCACGCCGGCAGCAGCUGCAGCCUUGACUACCUCCUGAGCAGCGGCC